GAUCCUGGCUCAGGAUGAACGCUGGCGGCGUGCUUAACACAUGCAAGUCGAACGAAGCACUUUUAUUUGAUUUCCUUCGGGACUGAUUAUUUUGUGACUGAGUGGCGGACGGGUGAGUAACGCGUGGGUAACCUGCCUUGUACAGGGGGAGUAACAGUUGGAAACGGCUGCUAAUACCGCAUAAGCGCACAGCAUCGCAUGAUGCAGUGUGAAAAAUUCCGGUGGUAUAAGAUGGACCCGCGG
rnacentral:rRNA from 1 species